AACCUGUGNAACUCGAAUGAACGAACGGGGAGAUUCAUCGUCAUUCAGCGGACGGCGCUGGUGGUGCGCGAUGGGUGGCCCUCCGGCGGUUUCGAUCGCCGGCAGUGAGCCGUUCACGCGUCCGCUUUGCGCAGUCAGUCCGUUGACGUCGUGCACUUCUCCCUUAGUAAUGCAUCGCGACCCGCUCGAUACCGAUCUAAGCCCCGUUCGGGUGCACGCGGCGUCUCGUGCGCUGCGUACCGUGACGGGUGCCGGUCGGUUGUUGGGCGGUAUUAGACGUGAAACGCGCACGCGCUUGUCGCGUCCGGCCCGACGCAAGGUCGUUGUGAUGCCGCCGUUGCGCCCGAGUGCGCGCGGUUGGCGCACGACGCCUGCUCGUGCAGCCGUGUCGUCUCGGACGUGCGUGUAUCCAGUCAUGCGAUGUUUUUGUUUCGGGCACUCACAGGACCCGUCUUGAAACACGGACCAAGGAGUCUAGCAUGUGUGCGAGUCACUAGGUUUUAAAACCGAAAGGCGCAACGAAAGUGAAGGCGCGCGCUCGUCGCGUGCUCGGGAGGAUGGCGAACGGCUCUCAAGGCUGUCGCCCGCACUCCCGAGGCGUCCCGUUCGCAAUCUGUCGAUGUGGGCGCGCUCAGAGCACAGAUGCUGGGACCCGAAAGAUGGUGAACUAUGCCUGGUCAGGUCGAAGUCAGGGGAAACCCUGAUGGAGGACCGUAGCGAUUCUGACGUGCAAAUCGAUCGUCGGAACUGGGUAUAGGGGCGAAAGACUAUCGAACCAUC
rnacentral:rRNA from 1 species